UACGUAGGGGGCGAGCGUUGUCCGGAAUUAUUGGGCGUAAAGAGCUCGUAGGCGGUCUGUUACGUCUGCUGUGAAAACCCAGGGCUUAACCCUGGGCUUGCAGUGGAUACGGGCAGACUAGAGGCAGGUAGGGGAGAAUGGAAUUCCCGGUGUAGCGGUGAAAUGCGCAGAUAUCGGGAGGAACACCGGUGGCGAAGGCGGUUCUCUGGGCCUGACCUGACGCUGAGGAGCGAAAGCGUGGGGAGCGAACAGG
rnacentral:rRNA from 1 species